UCACAGUGCGGUUUGGCCCAGGAGGUCUGAAUUGAACAGGGACAGCCUGAGCCGAACUUCAGGGAAUGGGAGGUUCCAGUGUUUGCCUGAGGCGUAAGCAGUCAUUCAGCAAUCAGGAACUCUUACCUGGGAGCUGUCCAUCCCAGCUGUUGGCACUUCUGGCACCGUGGGUCUAUUGAGGAGGGCCAACCCAAACAGGCUACUUCUGCUCUUCCUUCAAGGGACAUUCACAAGAUUACCUUCUACGGAAUGUUUCUAGACUGGAAAAUGGCUGAAUCCUCUCCAUAAAGGAGCAGGUGUUCUGGGUAUGGUGGACCAAGUCCUUGCUGGGUCUAAUGAGGCAGCAUGACGUGGCAGUGGCCUCCAUGAUGACUCGGUGAAGAAGUGAUGACUUUCCCACCCCUCCCUCCAGGCAGUUCACUCUGUCCACCCAACUCCCAUCCCAGGUUGGCUCUUCUGUCUUCUCUCUCCUGCACCCUCUCCCCUCAUGGAGGACUUUAAGUCUCUUUCCUGAAAUGUCCCAUCCUGCUUGCCUUUCAAAGUUUCCUAGAAGGCUUCGAUGGAAGCAGUGUCCAGUGCUGGGGAGCGUGGGAAAUCUCCCUGAAGUGGGUAUGAUCCCCCAGAUCACCAGCCAUCCCUGAUUCCAAAAAGCCCACGCUACCUGUUGAAUCCCAAGAAUAAAAUCCUGCCUGAUCUCCUUUUCCAA
rnacentral:lncRNA from 1 species